rnacentral:rRNA from 1 species
GUAAAGGCAAAAGAGAGCUUGAUUGCAAGACAUACAGGUCGAGCAAGGAUGAAAAUCGGACUUAGUGAUCCGGUGGUUCGGCGUGGAAGGGCCAUCGCUCAACGGAUAAAAGCUACCCUGGGGAUAACAGGCUUAUCUCCCCCAAGAGUCCACAUCGACGGGGAGGUUUGGCACCUCGAUGUCGGCUCAUCACAUCCUGGGGCUGUA